ACUCAGAACCAUUGAGCUGACUCUUGCCAGUAGAUACAAGUAUGGGCUGAUGGCUCAAGAGUCAGUUAUUCACUCUAAGAGAGACCACGCAACUGGAAUUUCAUCGCUAUCCAUUGUUGCCUGCCAACUCUCAGAGACUGCUGACGGUGGAUCAAUUUUAAUUUACAGCCGAUCUGGAAAGGCCAUUUAAGUAGUGGUAAUUAAGAAGCAAAAUAUGGAACUGGAAAUGUAGCAAAAUGUGGACAGUUUUAAACUAAUGAACUGCUUGAAGUCCUUUUUCUGCAAAGCCAAGCUGUUGGAUGUGAAGUUUCUCUGCAGUUACAAUAUGAGUAGAUGUUGAAUCUGGGAGAGUCAAGAGCGUG